GACGAACGCUGGCGGCGUGCUUAACACAUGCAAGUCGAACGGUAAGGCCCUUCGGGGUACACGAGUGGCGAACGGGUGAGUAACGCGUGAGUAACCUGCCCUUCACUCUGGGAUAACAGUUGGAAACGGCUGCUAAUACCGGAUAUUCAGCUCCUGUCGCAUGGGGGGGGUUGGAAAGUUUUGGUGGUGGAGGAUGGGCUCGCGUCCUAUCAGCUUGUUGGUGGGGUGAUGGCCUACCAAGGCGUCGACGGGUAGCCGGCCUGAGAGGGCGACCGGCCACAUUGGGACUGAGAUACGGCCCAAACUCCUACGGGAGGCAGCAGUGGGGAAUAUUGCACAAUGGGCGGAAGCCUGAUGCAGCAACGCCGCGUGCGGGAUGACGGCCUUCGGGUUGUAAACCGCUUUCAGCAGGGACGAAGCGCAAGUGACGGUACCUGCAGAAGAAGCACCGGCUAACUACGUG
rnacentral:rRNA from 1 species